rnacentral:rRNA from 1 species
UACGGGGGGGGCAAGCGUUGUUCGGAAUUACUGGGCGUAAAGGGCUCGUAGGCGGCCAACUAAGUCAGACGUGAAAUCCCUCGGCUUAACCGGGGAACUGCGUCCGAUACUGGCAGGCUUGAAUCCGGGAGAGGGAUGUGGAAUUCCAGGUGUAGCGGUGAAAUGCGUAAAUAUCUGGAGGAACACCGGUGGCGAAGGCGGCAUCCUGGACCGGUAUUGACGCUGAGGCGCGAAAGCUAGGGGAGCAAACGGG